rnacentral:tRNA from 1 species
UCCCAGGUGGUCUAGUGGUUAGGAUUUGGCGCUCUCACCGCCACGGCCGGGGUUCGAUUCCCCCGUCUGGGAA